AUUGAACGCUGGCGGCAGGCCUAACACAUGCAAGUCGAACGAGUGGCGGACGGGAGAGUAAUAUCUGGGAAACUGCAUGAUGGAGGGGGAUAACUACUGGAAACGGUAGCUAAUACCGCAUACCAUCAGAUGUGCCCAGAUUGGAUUGGCUUGUUGGUGGGGGAACGGCUCACCAAGGCGACGACCCAUAGCUGGGCUGAGAGGAUGACCCGACACACUGGAACUGAGACACGGUCCCGACUCCUACGGUAGGCAGCCGUGUGGACUAUUGCACCAUGGGCGCAAGCCUUAUGCCGCCAUGCCGCGUGUAUGAAUAAGGCCUUCGGGUUGUAAAGUACUUUCAGCGUGGAGGCGUUACCCGCAGAAGAAGCACCGGCUAACUCCGUGCCAGCAGCCGCGGUAAUAC
rnacentral:rRNA from 1 species